GUUCCCCGCGGACCGGCCCCGGGGUGAUUCUCCCGGGAGUCCCUGCCUCCUCCCGAACCCAAAGGUCCACGGAAUCCCCGGCUGAUCCAUUCGGGAGCCUCGCUUCCGGUGCCACCGAGAGUCCCCGCACCUGCCCCGCCAUCUCAGGAUUCCAAGUUUGUGCGCCUUGAGCCAGGCGCAUCUAGCGCUGCCCAGUGUCGGUGCAGUAUUUAGCUGCUGGUGUUUCUGGUGUAUUAUUAGUCCUACUCACUUCCUCCUGGUGUUAUGGCCCCAGUUUUCUGACAGGACGACUCUGACAGACUCGGGUCUGGGGCAAGCCUGCAGAUUAAGCGAUCCUGAUGCGAUUGGCAAUCAGUGAGUGUGCUCCCCUUCUUUGGAAAGCUGUCCUCUGGAAGGAACCUCUAAACCGUAGGGGGCCACGUGUUUGGUAGGCAAGGUCUUUCCGCUCUAGAUGCGGGAAUUUUCCCGGGCUCAUGCAAUGAGACAGAAGCCGGUCUUUGAACAGAGUCCACCCCAGCCUUGUCUUCCUUUGUGCACACUCAUUCUCCUUGCGGACCUUGCUUCUGUAAGUCAAAAGACCCAAACCCCUUCUCACGAACUCUGUUUUUCUAGGAAGCCAAGAACAAGAUAGAGGUUUUGCUGCUGUUAAGUUGUAUGAAUUCCUUAAUAUCUUGGAUAGCAACCUUUAUAUUUGAUUUGUAAGCUAAAUUUUCAUCUAGUUCAUGUUUUUUUUUUUUCAGUUUACCAUAAUCACACGUACUUUUUUUUUUUUUUGGUGGUAAUUCUCUGUGAAUUUGGUGUUAUAUGUUUAAGGGGGAAAAAAAGCAUCAGUUUUGGUGAAGUUUCUUCUCACCUUUUUCUUAUAGGAGUUUUAUAGCUUCAGAUAUUAAAUUUUAGUGGUUAACCCAUUUUUACUUGAUAUUUCUGUAUGUAUAAAGGAAGGGUCCAGUUCCAUUCUUCUGCAUGUUUACCCAACAUGAGUGGUGUUAAAAAUAUUAUGUCAUGGAUCUCUGUGACUUCCAGGCAAGUUCCAGGACAGCAGCUACAUAGAGAAACCCUGUCUGGGGGAGGGGGGAAGGGAAUAAAAAUAAACAAACAAAUAAAUUGUGUGUGUGUGUGUGUAGCCUUUGAAUUUAUCAGUGAUUAGUUAAUGACAUAGUUUAUUAAUUAGGUGUUUUUAUGACAAUACCACACUGUCUUAUUAAAUCAAAAUAUCAGUAAGACAGUACCACAGGAAUAUACAUGCAUGUGCACAUAAAAUAUCAGUAAAGUACAUGUAGCAAGUCCUGACAAAUGAACGUAGAAAUAGGAAAUAGAAGAACACUGUUUAGACACUUUAAUAUCCUAGUGUUGAUAAUGGACAGAACAACUAAGCAGAAG
rnacentral:lncRNA from 1 species